CCCUUAGAUGUUCUGGGCCGCACGCGCGCUACACUGACAGAGCCAGCGAGUUCUCUUUCCUUGGCUGAAAAGUCAUGGGUAAUCUUGUGAAACUCUGUCGUGCUGGGGAUAGAGCAUUGCAAUUAUUGCUCUUCAACGAGGAAUUCCUAGUAAGCGUAAGUCAUCAGCUUGCGUUGAUUACGUCCCUGCCCUUUGUACACACCGCCCGUCGCUACUACCGAUUGAAUGAUCCGGUGAACCCCUCGGAUCGGGGACGGUGCCCGUCGGUCUCCGGCGGGCCAGCCCUCGAAAAGUUGGGUAAACCUUAUCAUUUAGAGGAAGGAGAAGUCGUAACA
rnacentral:rRNA from 1 species